GACGAACGCUGGCGGCGUGCUUAACACAUGCAAGUCGAACGGAAAGGCCUUUUCGGAGGUACUCGAGUGGCGAACGGGUGAGUAACACGUGGGUGAUCUGCCCUGCACUCUGGGAUAAGCCUGGGAAACUGGGUCUAAUACCGGAUAGGACCGCACUUUAGUGUGUGUGGUGGAAAGUUUUUUCGGUGUAGGAUGAGCCCGCGGCCUAUCAGCUUGUUGGUGGGGUAAUGGCCUACCAAGGCGGCGACGGGUAGCUGGACUGAGAGGUUGGUCGGCCACAUUGGGACUGAGAUACGGGCCAGACUCCUACGGGAGGCAGCAGUGGGGAAUAUUGCACAAUGGGCGCAAGCCUGAUGCAGCGACGCCGCGUGGGGGAUGACGGCCUUCGGGUUGUAAACUCCUUUCGCCAGGGACGAAGCGUUUUGUGACGGUACCUGGAGAAGAAGCACCGGCUAACUACGUG
rnacentral:rRNA from 1 species